rnacentral:rRNA from 1 species
UGGGGAAUUUUGCGCAAUGGGGGAAACCCUGACGCAGCAACGCCGCGUGGAGGAUGAAGUCCCUUGGGACGUAAACUCCUUUCGACCGGGACGAUUAUGACGGUACCGGUGGAAGAAGCCCCGGCUAACUUCGUGCCAGCAGCCGCGGUAAUACGAGGGGGGCGAGCGUUGUUCGGAUUUACUGGGCGUAAAGGGCGCGUAGGCGGCGAUCUAAGUCAGGCGUGAAAGCCCCGGGCUCAACCUGGGAAUUGCGCUUGGGACUAGAUUGCUGGAGUUCGGGAGAGGAGCGUGGAAUUCCCAGUGUAGAGGUGAAAUUCGUAGAUAUUGGGAAGAACACCGGUGGCGAAGGCGGCGCUCUGGACCGAUACUGACGCUGAGGCGCGAAAGCGUGGGGAGCAAACAGGAUUAGAUACCCUGGUAGUCCACGCUGUAAACGAUGUGUGCUAGACGUUGGGGAGCCUAGCUCUUCGGUGUCGCCGCUAACGCUGUAAGCACACCGCCUGGGGAGUACGGCCGCAAG